UUUCCGUAGGUGAACCUGCGGAAGGACCAUUAGUGAACGCCCUCACGGGCUAAUAACUAUUCCAAACCUCUGUGAACCGUGCCCUUCGGAGUUAUUUAACAAACAUGGUGUAAUGUACGUCAUAUAUCAUAACAAAACAAAACUUCCAACAACGGAUCUCUUGGCUCUC
rnacentral:misc_RNA from 1 species